ACGGAGGGUGCAAGCGUUGUUCGGAAUUACUGGGCGUAAAGGGCGCGUAGGCGGUUUGAUAAGUCAGAUGUGAAAGCCCACGGCUUAACUGUGGAAGUGCAUUUGAAACUGUCAGACUUGAGUACCAGAGGGGAAAGUGGAAUUCCCGGUGUAGAGGUGAAAUUCGUAGAUAUCGGUAGGAAUACCGGUGGCGAAGACGACAUUCUGGCUUGAUACUGACGCUGAGGCGCUAAAGCGUGGGGAGCAAAAAG
rnacentral:rRNA from 1 species